UGUUAACAAAGCUGGAACAUUUUACCUGCAACAUUUUGAGGAUGUUUUUGAGUGUAACAGAAAAUGUAUGUGACCAGCUCUGUUCAGUUAAAGAUACAUACUUUCUCUUCACUAUAAGCUGUCACAUCCUACCUACCAUCAUCUUCAGCAAAGAGAAACAUAAAGAUGGACAUAAAGACAUUGUGAAGAUAUUUCACUUGAACAUGGUCUUCAUUAAUUCCAUAUCAUGUUCAGUGUCAACUGAUAUUUAUUAAUGUUUUCAGCUAAUAACAAUUGUUUGAGCACUGUCAUUU